ACUGGCACCAUGAUCUGACUACAGGGCACGGUCUGCACUCCAAAAGCAGUCAGUCUCCAACCUCUUUGCCCCCCGCCCCCAACACCUGCUAAGUCUACUUUCUACCUCCGUUGGUUUGCCUGUUCUGGACAUUUCAUAGUAUUUCUUCCCGACAGACCGAAAUGCUCUCACUGAAGUGAAGGCGCCUCAGCAGCUGCCCGAGGCACAUGGGACGGCGGGAAGAAAGCAGCGUGGCAUCAGCUGACCUCGUCCAGGCCGAGCUGGGGCCUGGCAACCCCCUUUCCUACUCUGAGCCCCAGCUCCCUCAUGUGUAAACGGAGCAGAGGGCAGACGUCGGCAGUGAACAAGGUCACCGAUCGAAAGCUGUGAGGGCCCGACUCCUGCCCAGGCCCUCCCCACGUCCCAUGUGGACUGCUGUGGACGAUGCUUAGCCCUGCAGAAGAGCCCAUCCUGACACCUGUGGUCAGCUCACCUGGUAAAAGGCCUGAGAGUCCUGGGCCCAGGAGAUCUGGCUGAGCCUCUCCAAGGUCUCAGAGACAUCCCUCAGACUUCCUGGCCUUCUCUGCAGGAACCACACCCCAACAACAUCUGCCAGGUGCCUCCCAUUUUCAGGUACUCUGCCUGGGCUGGGGGCCAGCAGUGAGCAGAGCGGGAAGAGUGGGAUCCCAGCUUU